AAGAGCCGCUGAGUGGGGAGGAGAGAGGGACAGAGAGCCUGCUUGCUUUAACGGAGCAACGCGGGAGAGUUGGCUCCUUUAAAGCAAGCAGGCUCUCUGUCCCUCUUUCCUCCCCACUCAGCUCGCUAAA
rnacentral:miRNA from 1 species